UGGGGAGGGAUAAGAAAGGCUGAGGGCAGCCCACAGCAGCUCUGGAACUCAAGAAACUGUCCAACAUGGUCAGGACUCUUCUUGUCCUUAUGAUGCUCACUCACAGCCCAGGGUCCCUCUCCCAACCUGUGCUGACUCAGCCUCCCUCUGCAUCUGCCUCCGUGGGACAAACAGCCAAACUCACCUGCACUCUGAGCAGUGGCUACAAUAGUUAUGUGGUGAACUGGUUCCAGCAAAGCCCAGGGAAGAGCCCCCGUUUUGUGAUGCAUGUGGGCAGUAGUGGCAUUGUGGGAUCCAAGGGGGAUGGAAUUCCUGAUCGCUUCUCAGGCUCAGGCUCUGGCCUGGAUCGAUACCUGACCAUCCAGAACACCCAGGAAGAGGAUGAGAAUGUCUACUACUGUGGGGCAUCUCAUAGCAGUCGGAGCAUCUUCAUGUAAUGCACAGUGACACAGGCAAAGGGGAAGUAAGACAAAAACUCCUAGGAGCUUCCUUAUCAUGAUUAAUAAUAUCUAACUUCCCAGAUAUUUUAUAAACUUAAUUCACAUUAAAUAUUCCUCAUAUAAAAAUACA